rnacentral:rRNA from 1 species
GACGAACGCUGGCGGCGUGCUUAACACAUGCAAGUCGAACGGAAAGGCCCUGCUUUUGUGGGGUGCUCGAGUGGCGAACGGGUGAGUAACACGUGAGUAACCUGCCCUUGACUUUGGGAUAACUUCAGGAAACUGGGGCUAAUACCGGAUAGGGGCUCCUGCUGCAUGGUGGGGGUUGGAAAGUUUCGGCGGUUGGGGAUGGACUCGCGGCUUAUCAGCUUGUUGGUGGGGUAGUGGCUUACCAAGGCUUUGACGGGUAGCCGGCCUGAGAGGGUGACCGGCCACAUUGGGACUGAGAUACGGCCCAGACUCCUACGGGAGGCAGCAGUGGGGAAUAUUGCACAAUGGGCGGAAGCCUGAUGCAGCAACGCCGCGUGCGGGAUGACGGCCUUCGGGUUGUAAACCGCUUUCGCCUAUGACGAAGCGUGAGUGACGGUAAUGGGUAAAGAAGCACCGGCUAACUACGUGCCAGCAGCCGCGGUGAUACGUAGGGUGCGAGCGUUGUCCGGAUUUAUUGGGCGUAAAGGGCUCGUAGGUGGUUGAUCGCGUCGGAAGUGUAAUCUUGGGGCUUAACCCUGAGCGUGCUUUCGAUACGGGUUGACUUGAGGAAGGUAGGGGAGAAUGGAAUUCCUGGUGGAGCGGUGGAAUGCGCAGAUAUCAGGAGGAACACCAGUGGCGAAGGCGGUUCUCUGGGCCUUUCCUGACGCUGAGGAGCGAAAGCGUGGGGAGCGAACAGGCUUAGAUACCCUGGUAGUCCACGCUGUAAACGGUGGGUACUAGGUGUGGGGUCCAUUCCACGGGUUCCGUGCCGUAGCUAACGCUUUAAGUACCCCGCCUGGGGAGUACGGCCGCAAGGCUAAAACUCAAGGGAAUUGACGGGGCCCCGCACAAGCGGCGGAGCAUGCGGAUUAAUUCGAUGCAACGCGUAGAACCUUACCUGGGUUUGACAUGGAUCGGGAGUGCUCAGAGAUGGGUGUGCCUCUUUUGGGGUCGGUUCACAGGUGGUGCAUGGCUGUCGUCAGCUCGUGUCGUGAGAUGUUGGGUUAAGUCCCGCAACGAGCGCAACCCUUGUUCACUGUUGCCAGCACGUUAUGGUGGGGACUCAGUGGAGACCGCCGGGGUCAACUCGGAGGAAGGUGGGGAUGACGUCAAGUCAUCAUGCCCCUUAUGUCCAGGGCUUCACGCAUGCUACAAUGGCUGGUACAGAGAGUGGCGAGCCUGUGAGGGUGAACGAAUCUCGGAAAGCCAGUCUCAGUUCGGAUUGGGGUCUGCAACUCGACCUCAUGAAGUCGGAGUCGCUAGUAAUCGCAGAUCAGCAACGCUGCGGUGAAUACGUUCCCGGGGCU